CAUUUGCCAAGUAUGUUCCCGUUAAUCAAGAACGAAAGUUAGAGGUUCGAAGGCGAUCAGAUACCGCCCUAGUUCUAACCAUAAACGAUGCCAGCCAGCGAUCCGCCGAAGUUCCUCCGAUGACUCGGCGGGCAGCUUCCGGGAAACCAAAGCUUUUGGGUUCCGGGGGAAGUAUGGUUGCAAAGCUGAAACUUAAAGGAAUUGACGGAAGGGCACCACCAGGAGUGGAGCCUGCGGCUUAAUUUGACUCAACACGGGAAACCUCACCAGGCCCGGACACCGGAAGGAUUGACAGAUUGAGAGCUCUUUCUUGAUUCGGUGGGUGGUGGUGCAUGGCCGUUCUUAGUUGGUGGAGCGAUUUGUCUGGUUAAUUCCGGUAACGAACGAGACUCUAGCCUGCUAAAUAGACGAUUUCCGGUAUCCACAAUAGUGCUACCGGCGAAAUCAAUAUCUUCUUAGAGGGACAGGCGGCUUUCAGCCGCACGAAACUGAGCAAUAACAGGUCUGUGAUGCCCUUAGAUGUCCUGGGCCGCACGCGCGCUACACUGAAGGAAUCAGCGUGUCUACCCUGGCCGAAAGGCUCGGGCAACCCGUUGAACCUCCUUCGUGCUAGGGAUUGGGGCUUGCAAUUGUUCCCCAUGAACGAGGAAUUCCCAGUAAGCGCGAGUCAUAAGCUCGCGUUGAUUACGUCCCUGCCCUUUGUACACACCGCCCGUCGCUACUACCGAUUGAAUGAUUUAGUGAGGUCUUCGGACUGGUGCGCGGCGGCCGCCUGCGCGGGCGCCGAUGCCACCGGGAAGAUGACCGAACUUGAUCAUUUAGAGGAAGUA
rnacentral:rRNA from 1 species